CCUACGGGAGGCAGCAGUGGGGAAUCUUGCGCAAUGGGCGAAAGCCUGACGCAGCCAUGCCGCGUGAAUGAUGAUGGUCUUAGGAUUGUAAAAUUCUUUCACCGGGGACGAUAAUGACGGUACCCGGAGAAGAAGCCCCGGCUAACUUCGUGCCAGCAGCCGCGGUAAUACGAAGGGGGCUAGCGUUGCUCGGAAUUACUGGGCGUAAAGGGAGCGUAGGCGGAUAGUUUAGUCAGAGGUGAAAGCCCAGGGCUCAACCUUGGAAUUGCCUUUGAUACUGGCUAUCUUGAGUAUGGGAGAGGUUAGCGGAACUCCGAGUGUAGAGGUGAAAUUCGUAGAUAUUCGGAAGAACACCAGUGGCGAAGGCGGCUAACUGGCCCAUUACUGACGCUGAGGCUCGAAAGCGUGGGGAGCAAACAGGAUUAGAUACCCUGGUAGUCCACGCCGUAAACGAUGAGUGCUAGUUGUCGGCAUGCAUGCAUGUCGGUGACGCAGCUAACGCAUUAAGCACUCCGCCUGGGGAGUACGGUCGCAAGAUUAAAACUCAAAGGAAUUGACGG
rnacentral:rRNA from 1 species